UACGGAGGGGACUAGCGUUGUUCGGAAUCACUGGGCUUAAAGGGCGCGUAGGCGGGCUGGUAAGUCAGGGGUGAAAGCCCACGGCCCAACCGUGGAAGUGCCUUUGAUACUGCCAGUCUCGAGGGAGGUAGGGGCGUGCGGAACUUCCGGUGGAGCGGUGAAAUGCGUAGAUAUCAGGAGGAACACCGGUGGCGAAGGCGGGUCUCUGGGUCGAUACUGACGCUGAGGAGCGAAAGCGUGGGGAGCGAACAGG
rnacentral:rRNA from 1 species